rnacentral:tRNA from 1 species
UCCCAUAUGGUGUAGUGGUUAGCAUAACGCUCUCUCAUCGAUGAGCGCAGCGUAGACCCUGGUUCGAUUCCUGGUAUGGGAG